rnacentral:piRNA from 1 species
UCAGCAACUUCAGUUUGUUGGAGCUCUCC